rnacentral:lncRNA from 1 species
GUCAAGCAGCACCAGGCUUGGUUACCAGUACACACUGCCGUGACGCAGAAAAGCUCACAGGAACAUCCUGCAGGUGAGGACAGUGAGGAAUGACCCGUGUGGGAGGGCAGCAAGGCCCAGCGCCUGGGCUCCGGCUGGGGUGGGGUAGGGGUGUCCAAAGUCCCCACCCAGAGAGGGCCGGGGUGGACCCCUGUGUUCCCCACUUCCUGUUUCCCUGAGCCUGCAGCAGAGUUCUGUGGGGGCGGAACCAGUGACUUCUCUCUCAGGAGAGAGGCACCCAAGGACCAGGGGGCUCUUUGCCUCUCCCUGCACCCUGCAGGGAUCUGCUUGCUCAUUUGUAAACUGGGGAGUCCGGUUCGGAUCGAAGUCUUCUGUGGAACCGGUGCUUUCACCCAGCUCUCCUCUGCCGGCGUCACUCUGAGAGCAGCUGCCCACUGUCUCAGGGGUACUUUUCAGGAGCAACACUUGGCCGGAAGCCGGGAAACCGAGGGGGCCGGGACACUGGCGAGCCGCUGCCCACCUUCCGGUCCAGCCCGGGGCUCAGUGCUGCGGCGCGUGCGCUCUUGCCAGACCCCCCUCCCCCGACACACACUUGGCGCGCAUCUCAUGCACCCAGGGCUCGCCUCAUGGGGGCGGAGCCGGGUCUUCCUCAUCUCCUCCAACAGAUUCUGUGCUGCGGGAACUGGGAGCCCACGCUGCUCAGGAGCUGGGAAGCCACGGAGCCGCCGACUCGGGCCUUGCCUGGACGCCGUGAGAGCCCGGAAGCCCGGCUCGUCCUGCGGAGCCGGCUGAGGGCCAAACACCCCGCCUCCCAAGGGGAUUGGUGCAGCUCCACAUUGGUCCGCCUGAAGUCCACCUGGUCUGGUAUUGAUCUUAUUACUUUGCCU